rnacentral:rRNA from 1 species
GAUGAACGUUGGCGGUGUGCCUAAUACAUGCAAGUCGAACGGAGUUAGUAGCAAUACUGGCUCAGUGGCGAACGGGUGAGUAACGCGUUGGUGAUCUGCCUUGAAGUGUGGAAUAACGUUUCGAAAGGAACGCUAAUACCGCAUGUGCUCUCGAUUUUCAGAAAGUUGAAAGUAAAGGAUUUAUUCGCUUCAAGAGGAGCCUGCGUCCCAUCAGCUGGUUGGUAGGGUAACGGCCUACCAAGGCUAUGACGGGUAGGGGACCUGAGAGGGUGGCCCCCCACAAUGGAACUGAAACACGGUCCAUACACCUACGGGUGGCAGCAGUAGGGAAUAUUAGAAAUGGACGAAAGUCUGAUCUAGCAACACCGCGUGUGCGAAGAAGGCCUUCGGGUCGUAAAGCACUUUUUGGAAGGAAUAGGAAGGAAUGUACUUCCAGAAUAAGUCUCGGCUAACUACGUGCCAGCAGCCGCGUAAACUGUAGUCGU